AAUCAGCCCGGCGUGACCUACUUACUAGUUAAGUCUCCAACCUGAUCAAAGGGCCUUCUGCUCAGACACCUCCUGCUCAUUAUUUAGAGCACAGACCUGUGUCCACUCGAGAAAGCCUGGAACCAGGAGAAAGGUGACUUCACGAUCAGAGGACGCCACACUCCGUGUGAUCAGCAGGUUCAUCUUUGCCUGGACAAGGCCCAGUUCCCUCUGCUUUGCCGCAUUGCUUACUGACCCAGAUCUGCACCGCUCCCGAUGCCCUCCUGCCCUGCCUGCAGCCAGCACUGAGUCAACAAGCAAAAUCUCACAUGUAAUAUUCUGAGAUUCAACCCUCAGCCCUUUCAUUUCAGUCUCAGCCACAGUGAACCGCUCCGUGGAAGCACAGACUUUCCUUGUGCUGUCAGCAUCUUACCUCAAGCUCAAGCUCAAGCCAGACUUUCUGCCCCAAGGUCAUCUCCAACACACACAAAUGCAGCCCGGAAAUACCAGGAAGUUCACAGCCUAGGAGGAAACCUCAACUAGUCCAGGUCAGAAGCAGGUGGGCAAAGCUUUCCAUUUUUUUCAGGCAGACAAUUCUGAACAGCUUUCCCUGAGCUUCUUUUGAGAUCCCGGUGGAAACAAGCGCACCGCUCACAGCAGCAACCUCAGCAGCCCACCCUGGUCUCAGCUUUUCCUCCUUCCCUGUCUCACUCUCUUGCUUCCUGGUAUCACCACCCAAAUAAACCACCCACAGCCCUCAGGCUCUGCUUUGGGGGUACUCAGAGGAAUAAAGGGACAAAUCCAGAAAACAGAAGGACCAGCGCCUUCCAAGAACAAUCACAUCAUCGACACAAUCUCACUGGUGACCUUUACCAACGAUCAUGUAAGCACGUUUUCUAAGGGGAAAGUGUCCUCGACAUUUAUAUUACAACCUAAACUCUUACUAAAGAGGUCUUUUGUUUGGUUUUAUUUUUCUUGGAGGGGGCGGUCCCUUUGCUCUUUCCUCUACCUCAGUGUCUAAAUUCCUCAUGUGACGCCUCACUUUCCUGGUUAAAAUUUCCCUGAAUUGACUGUGGCCUGUUGGGAGACAGGAUGGAAGGAGUUGCUUAUGGAAAAUGAACAAGAAGGGGGAGCAGACCAAAGGCGAAAAGCUGCGACUAAUUUUGACAUCAAAGAUGCCAAUGAGGGGCUUCCCUGGUGACGCAGUGGUUGA